rnacentral:rRNA from 1 species
GAGCGGAAAGGCCCUUCGGGGUACUCGAGCGGCGAACGGGUGAGUAACACGUGAGCAACCUGCCCUCAGCUCCGGGUAUAGCUCCGGGAAACCGGAAUUAAUACCGGAUAUGAUCACGGCCGACAUCGGCCGUGAUGGAAAGGAUUUCCGGCUGAGGAUGGGCUCGCGGCCUAUCAGCUAGUUGGUGGGGUAACGGCCUACCAAGGCGACGACGGGUAGCCGGCCUGAGAGGGCGACCGGCCACACUGGGACUGAGACACGGCCCAGACUCCUACGGGAGGCAGCAGUGGGGAAUAUUGCGCAAUGGGCGAAAGCCUGACGCAGCGACGCCGCGUGGGGGAUGAAGGCCUUCGGGUUGUAAACCCCUUUCAGCAGGGACGAAGCGCAAGUGACGGUACCUGCAGAAGAAGCGCCGGCUAACUACGUGCCAGCAGCCGCGGUAAU